AGCUUUAUUUUUAGGCUAAUAUGAAUAGGCCUAUUAUGCCCAUGCACAUUUGAAGCACCAGGAGGAGAUGUUUCUCAAAUUUCAAUUAAGUUCAAUCACUCUUUAUAUAAGGAUCAUACCGGUACUAUCCAGUUCAGCAUGUGUAUUUUCUUGAAAGUUUGUUAAAGCAUACUGUGGGCGACAUCUGACAACUGACACGUACUGGGCUCACUCAAACUUCGCGACAAUGCAUAUUAUUAUCACAAAGUUGAGUAGAUCAUUGCAGCAUGCUCAGGAAAGUGGCAGAUAUGCAGCACAGCAUCUGGACUGAUCAUUACCCUGAGAAAACACCACAUCAAGCUGAGAGUGACAGUUUUGUAAGGCCCAUCCCUAGCAAAACAGAGAGAAUAAAAGGACUCAACAGCUACAGGACACCAGGAGUGCCUGUUACUUGUGCUAAUCUACCUGUGCAAGUGUCUGAAAGCCCUAAGGAUCCUUGAGUUAUCUCUGGUCGUGUUAAGAAAAAUGGUCAAGUGGAUGAUUUCUACACUCAUGGGACUGACCAGAGAUCUACCCGCCCAGGAUGUGUCUCUACAGUGGUGAAGAAAAUGUAUGAGUCUUCAGGGGAUCACCAAUCCAAAAUGGCGGUGUAACAGGGUACAAGAGAGAGGCAAAAUGGAACAUUGCUACCUACAGAAGAGAUGAAGAGGCCCCAAAUCUUAAAUUAACCAUGGCUCAAAGUCAGGAGUCGAAAGGCCUCCCACUUCCUGUCACCCAGCGACUUCCUGUUACCCAGUGUGUGAGUGAACUUGCAGCUCCUCGUCAACAAAUGAAAAUGACCUUUGACAGAAGAAGAGGGGCUGGGAUGGAGCAUGUGAAAUAUACUGUGUUUCUUCAGGUCUUAAUCGUCACUGCACUAAUUCAAGACUCUGAUG